GUAGAGCUGAGCUCCAUGUGACUGACUGUGUGUGUUUGCAUAUGUGUCCUGCCUCUCUGCUCCAGCUGUUAAGAGGUCAGAGUUGAUCAGUGGCUGUCCAGGCCUUUCAGAGCCACUGACACACCAGCAGCACAAUGAUGAUGUCACUGGCUCUACUGCUGACCAUCCUGGGGCUCCUGGUUCAGGGUUCCUCAGCAGUCAUCACCCUGACUCAGACUCCAGGAUCUCAGUCUGUUACUCCGGGACAGACUGUGUCCUUUAGCUGUAAAGCCAGUUCACCUGUUGAUGAUGAUUUGCACUGGUACCUUCAGAAAUCUGGAGCAGCUCCAAAGCUCCUUAUCUAUUCCGCUUCUUCACGUUGGACUGGAGUGUCUGAUCGUUUCACUGGAAGUGGAUAUGAUAUUGAUUUUACUCUGACCAUCAGCAGAGUUCAGGCUGAAGAUGCAGGAGUUUAUUACUGUCAACAUGAUGAGAACUUCCCGUUCACACAGUGAUACAACGUCGUACAAAAACCUCACGGCUGCAGAGAAACUGAUCCACAGCUGCACUGAAAAACAAGUUGUACAUGUAGGGAAUAAAAGAAAAGUUUAAUACAAAUCAAGGACCAGAUUAUUAGAAUUAGUUGGUGUUGGGAACUUCAGCUCUUUUCAUAAAACAAGCUCCAAAACGAAGCCAGGUUUUUUGGCUGCUUAUUUAUUUUCAACUGAAACCUGAUCUGCUAGCUCUACGUUUUGUGUGAUAAAUCCUUUUGCUUUCACUGUUCCUUUUAUGCCUUACGCUUGCUUAAUUUUAUGUUUGUUCUGUAACAAAAGCAAGCAUUUUUACUUUUCUAUGACAUUUUAAUCAAACUUUGCAUUUUUGAACAAAACAGUGCAAACAGGUUUAUCAAAUAAACCCAUAAUAGCUUGUAAGUGUUGGUUUUAGUAUUUUUAAAUGCAAAAGUAAGAAUUAAAAAAACAGUAGACUAGAUAGAUUUAUACUUUAGCACAUCUCUCAAGAUUUAAACACAACAAUUAAAGCAUAUUUUGCUUAAUAUUUGAAAC